UCGGGAAUUUUGGGCAAUGGGCGAAAGCCUGACCCAGCAACGCCGCGUGAAGGAUGAAGUAUUUCGGUAUGUAAACUUUGAAAGAAUAGGAAGAAUAAAUGACGGUACUAUUUAUAAGGCUCGGCUAACUACGUGCCAGCAGCCGCGGUAAUACGUAGGGACCAAGCGUUGUUCGGAUUUACCGGGCGUAAAGGGUGUCGAGGCGGUUGUAUUAGUCGUUCGUAAAAUCUACGAGCUUAACUUGUAGGCGGCGAACGAAACGGUACGACUUGAGGUUUGGAGAGGUGCGUGGAACUCACGGUGUAGGGGUGAAAUCCGUUGAUAUCGUGGGGAACACCAAAGGCGAAGGCAGCGCACUGGCCAAAAUCUGACGCUCACACACGAAAGCUAGGGUAGCGAAGAGGAUUAGAUACCCAUGUAGUCCCUGAGCGGGCUGGCAAGGCGCAU
rnacentral:rRNA from 1 species